ACAAUCAUGUCCAAAUAUACACUGCAUGGAAUAAUCUACCUGUUUAGGCUUUCUGUUCAUACAAUGGACUAGCCUGAAUCGUCUAUAUAUGUAUUACAUCGUGGAAUUGAGUGAACACUGAUAACACCGUUUGCACGUCAUACGGAAUAACCUCUCCUUGGGAUUAGCAGGACUGUCGUUCUAUAUUGCAGAAAUAUGUAUGUUACAGAUGCUCAGCUAGACGAGCUAUCAGGCUCGAUCCCAUCGUCUCAAUACUUCACUCUCUGUCAGUCGUUGGGUGUACUAACCAAUCAGGGAGCUAUGAUCCUAGAGACGAGAGGGAACAACUACCAGAAAGCUUUCGGGAUAGUUCUUCGAUUGUGGAAUGAGAGAACUGGAGGAACCCGAACCCGUCUCCGUGCAGCCCUGAAGGAUGCAGGAGCAGGAGAUCUCAUCAAGGAAUGAAAGCAAUGAUUUACAAUGUUAGGUUAAAGGCGUGUUGCAAUCUUAAGAUCAAGAAAUUGGUUAGAAAGUAGUUAUAUUGAGAAAAAAAAACUUCUCUAGAAAAUGAUUAUUAAUGUAAAAGCAGAAUUAAAAAAGGUAAUUAGCGGAUUUGCUAUAUUUUAAAGGCUCUAUUAUUCUGUGAAAGAGAAAUAUUAUAUUAAUUACAUCAGAGGCGGCUCCAGGAUAUUUUUAAGGGAAGGGGUAAGACGACCUAAAGAUGAUUAAUAUUCUUCUUAAUUUAAUUCUAGGAAUAUAUGAUGAAAGUUGCACGUCCCAGGCUUUUGAGUUUCACAUUUUUCUUUAUAAUUUCCCUUUUCUUUUUCUUUUUUCCUCUUUUUCGAUUUAUAGAGAACUACUUAAAAAAAUCAUAGGGCUGAAGAUGAUGGGGGGAAAAAGAACACCUAACUAGAAAUUUAAAGUAUCAAAUACUGUAUACCGGAGGGGUGUACGUUAAAAAACAUCAUUAUUUUGAGUGUAACAUUUUUCAAAAAUCAUUCUCAUUAUUUUCUUCCGCGAUCAAUUAUGAUUUUCAUUCAUCUUGUCCAAGAUAACAGGGUUGCCAUAAUGAUGAGAUGAACAAUGUCACCGCAUGAAUCAUUGCCAUAAUUGAUGGCUGAGUGUGUUUUCUUUUACGUAAUGGCCUCAAAUAACAGAAAAAAAUACACAUACAAAUGAGGCAUUGCUUUACAUUUUGUUACAAGUAAAGUACUAUUUUCAUGCAAUAUUGCAUUUUCAGUAGUAAUGUCCCUCACGAUUUGUAGAUCAGUGAUUCGGUAAAAAAAUUAACCUUUCAUAAGUUUCAUUAGCACCAUCAAAGUUAUUAGUGUAUCGCUAUAUCCGAUCACUCUGUUGAAGAAUGAUAUAUCUGCUAUAUAUAUAUGAAUAGAAAUACAUCAACACCGAUCUUCCAUCAUUGCAAUUUUUUCGUCUUCUAAGCCUUAUAUAUUAGCGGGCAAUUUUCUUUUAUUCAUCUAUUGUUCCACCACUGCAUUACGUCACUAGACAUUACUUCUUGUGUAUACGUAUAUGGAUUAAAACGUAAUAUCUUAUGACGAGAAAAACCUCUA